rnacentral:rRNA from 1 species
UACGGAGGGUGCGAGCGUUAAUCGGAAUCACUGGGCGUAAAGCGCACGUAGGCGGCUUAUCAAGUCGGAUGUGAAAGGCCUCGGCUCAACCGGGGAACUGCAAUCGAAACUGUCAGGCUGGAGUCUCGGAGAGGGUGGCGGAAUUCCCGGUGUAGGAGUGAAAUCCGUAGAUAUCGGGAGGAACACCAGUGGCGAAGGCGGCCAGCUGGACGAUGACUGACGCUGAGGUGCGAAAGCGUGGGUAGCAAACAGG